rnacentral:rRNA from 1 species
CCUACGGGCGGCUGCAGUGAGGAAUAUUGGUCAAUGGGCGCGAGCCUGAACCAGCCAAGUAGCGUGAAGGAUGACUGCCCUACUGGUUGUAAACUUCUUUUAUAAAGGAAUAAAGUGAGUCACUUUUGCCUUUUUGUAUGUACUUUAUUAAUAAGUAUCGGCUAACUCCGUGCCAGCCGCCUCGUUAAUACUUAUUAUCCUAUCGUUAUCCUUAUUUAUUUGGUUUAAAGGGAGCGUAGAUGGGUUGUUAAGUCAGUUUUGAAAGGUUGCGGGGCAUCCGGAAAAGGGCAAGGGAGACGGGCAGCCUUGAGUACAGUUGAGGUAGGCGGAAGUCGGGGGGGAGCGGGGAAAGGCGGAGAUAGCACGAAGAACGCCGAUUGCGAAGGCAGCCUACGAAACGGCCACUGACAGUGAUGCGCGAAAGUGGGGGGAGCAAACAGGAGGAGAGACCCGGGGAGUC